GGCAGUGGCUCAGGAGGUAGAGCAGGUGGUCUGGCCACCGUAAGGUUGCUGGUUCGAUUCCCGGCUCCACAUAGCCA